rnacentral:rRNA from 1 species
UACGGAGGGGGCUAGCGUUGUUCGGAUUCAUUGGGCGUAAAGGGUGCGUAGGCGGCGCGGUAAGUCGGGUGUGAAAUCUCGGAGCUUAACUCCGAAACUGCAUUCGAUACUGCCGUGCUUGAGGACUGGAGAGGAGACUGGAAUUUACGGUGUAGCGGUGAAAUGCGUAGAUAUCGUAAGGAAGACCAGUGGCGAAGGCGGGGUCUCUGGACAGUUCCUGACGCUGAGGCACGAAGGUCAGGGGAGCAAACAGG